rnacentral:tRNA from 1 species
UCCCUGGAGGACUAGUGGUUAGGCCACAGUGCUUUCACUGCUGUAGCCCGGGUUCGAUUCCUGGCCAGGGAA